UUUCCGUAGGUGAACCUGCGGAAGGAUCAUUAAAAAAGAAAAUCACAAAUGAUAUUUAGGUCCUAGGGCGAAGCUCUAGGGCCGGCAAAAAGCAAAAACCAAAGGGUUCGCCCUAAUUCUUUUUAACGAGAUUCACCUGACGCUUCGCGCCAGGUAAAAAAAACUUUCAACAACGGAUCUCUUGGCUCUCGCAUCGAUGAAGAACGCAGCAAAUCGCGAUAUGUGUCAUGACUUGCAGACGUGAAUCAUUAAUCUUUGAACGCACAUUGCGCCCUGGAGCAUUCUCCAGGGCAUGUGGGUGUGAGCGGAUGUCCUUCUCACUUUUGUGGCCUACAUCCAGCCCUAGGAAUCAAGUUUACCUAGACUUUUUUUCCCUCACCCCCACAAGACUACCCGCUGAACUUAA
rnacentral:misc_RNA from 1 species